rnacentral:ribozyme from 1 species
GAUAAGAAAGAAAGAGCCGAGCCAACUAGGGCAAUGGGUUAGAACGAAACACUUUACAAACUGGUUGCUUUUCUUUUUCUUUUUCUUUUUCUUUUCUUCGCCUGGACUUGAGAACAGGUAGGGUGAAGUGUUGGACAAGAGCUAUUUUGGGCAAAAGAAGGAAACCAAACAUGUAAACAAAAAAUAAUGUACUUCUGAACUUGAAAAAAAAAAA